rnacentral:rRNA from 1 species
GACGAACGCUGGCGGCGUGCUUAACACAUGCAAGUCGGACGAUGAAGCCUAGCUUGCUAGGUGGAUUAGUGGCGAACGGGUGAGUAAUACGUGAGUAACCUACCUUUAACUCUGGGAUAAGCCUGGGAAACUGGGUCUAAUACCGGAUACGACCAAUCUCCGCAUGGGGUGUUGGUGGAAAGCGUUAUGUAGUGGUUAUAGAUGGGCUCACGGCCUAUCAGCUUGUUGGUGAGGUAACGGCUCACCAAGGCGACGACGGGUAGCCGGCCUGAGAGGGUGACCGGCCACACUGGGACUGAGACACGGCCCAGACUCCUACGGGAGGCAGCAGUGGGGAAUAUUGCACAAUGGGCGCAAGCCUGAUGCAGCGACGCCGCGUGAGGGAUGACGGCCUUCGGGUUGUAAACCUCUGUUAGCAGGGAAGAAGAGAGAUUGACGGUACCUGCAGAGAAAGCGCCGGCUAACUACGUGCCAGCAGCCGCGGUAAUACGUAGGGCGCGAGCGUUGUCCGGAAUUAUUGGGCGUAAAGAGCUUGUAGGCGGUUUGUCGCGUCUGCUGUGAAAGGCCGGGGCUUAACUCCGUGUAUUGCAGUGGGUACGGGCAGACUAGAGUGCAGUAGGGGAGACUGGAAUUCCUGGUGUAGCGGUGGAAUGCGCAGAUAUCAGGAGGAACACCGAUGGCGAAGGCAGGUCUCUGGGCUGUAACUGACGCUGAGAAGCGAAAGCAUGGGGAGCGAACAGG